GUCUUCUUGAUAAAAUAGGAAGUCUGACCUGCCCAGUGAAAAUAUUUUAACGGCCGCGGUAUAUUGACCGUGCAAAGGUAGCAUAAUCAUUAGUCUUUUAAUAGAGGGCUGGAAUGAAGGGUUUAACGAAGUACUUACUGUCUCAUUUAAUUUGAUAUUAAAAUUUACUUUUUCAGUCAAAAAGCUGAAAUAUUAUUGGAAGACGAGAAGACCCUAUAGAGCUUUAUAUUUGAUUAUUUAAUAAAUUUUUGACAUAAUUAUUAUUUAUUAUUUAAUAAAAUAUUUUGUUGGGGUGACAAAAAUAUAUAAUUAACUUUUUUAUUUAUAUAACAUUGAUAUAUGAAAAAUAGAUCCAGUUUUACUGAUUAUUAGAAUAAGUUACCUUAGGGAUAACAGCGUAAUCUUCCUUUAGAGUUCAUAUUCACAGGGAGGCUUGCGACCUCGAUGUUGGAUUAAGAUUAUAAUUAGGUGUAGCCGCUUAAAAAAUAGGUCUGUUCGACCUUUAAAUUCUU
rnacentral:rRNA from 1 species